rnacentral:rRNA from 1 species
UACGGAGGAUCCGAGCGUUAUCCGGAUUUAUUGGGUUUAAAGGGUGCGCAGGCGGGAGAUUAAGUCGGCGGUGAAAUUUUGCAGCUCAACUGUAAAAGUGCCUUCGAAACUGGUUUUCUUGAGUGCGUAAGAGGCAGGCGGAAUUCGUUGUGUAGCGGUGAAAUGCUUAGAUAUGACGAGGAACUCCUAUUGCGAAGGCAGCUUGCUGGGUCGUUACUGACGCUGAUGCUCGAAGGUGCGGGGAUCAAACAGGAUUAGAUACCCCGGUAGU